rnacentral:rRNA from 1 species
CUGGCGGCGUGCCUAACACAUGCAAGUCGAGCGAGGAGAUCCUUCGGGAUGAUCCUAGCGGCGGACGGGUGAGUAACACGUGGGCAACCUGCCUCAUAGAGAGGAAUAGCCUUCCGAAAGGGAGAUUAAUGCCUCAUAACAUUGCAGUUUCGCAUGGAACAGCAAUUAAAGGAGCAAUCCACUAUGAGAUGGGCCCGCGGCGCAUUAGCUAGUUGGUGAGGUAACGGCUCACCAAGGCGACGAUGCGUAGCCGACCUGAGAGGGUGAUCGGCCACAUUGGGACUGAGACACGGCCCAGACUCCUACGGGAGGCAGCAGUGGGGAAUAUUGCACAAUGGGGGAAACCCUGAUGCAAGCAACGCCGCGUGAGUGAUGACGGUCUUCGGAUUGUAAAGCUCUGUCUUCAGGGACGAUAAUGACGGUACCUGAGGAGGAAGCCACGGCUAACUACGUGCCAGCCGCCGC